UGCUGUUGGCCUAUAUUUAUGGUUGACUAU
rnacentral:piRNA from 1 species